CACAGGACGCGCGGAUGCUCCGAUCGGUGGCCUCUGCACCAGGCCGUUCUUUCCCGGCUUCCUGACCCCGCUACGGCGCCUCACCCCCGACCCCCGGCUACCAUUGGUCCGACUUCGGGAGGGGCGGAGCAGGGAUGUUGACGGACAGCCACGCAAGCUGGGUGCUGUGCCCAGAGGCGAGGACAAGGAGUUGGCACCGCCUGUGCUAACUGCUGCCACCAGGCUCUUGUACUCAGGAUUUUCUCGGCCUGCGGACUAACCACAACGCUGUCCCUGCAGUGAUGGAGUUGCUGGUUCCUGCCUGACACCAGAGUAACAAGGCUUACCAAAGGCGAGCAUGGAGAUAGCAGGGCCUUGAAGCUCCUUGCUUUGAAGUUAGUCUCUUGGCAAAAGUGCCAGAAUACUCCACCCAACCCCACCCUCAAUUCUUGAUUAUCCUAAUUUGGAGAUUUUAACUGGAGAAAUGUCAGAAGCAGUUUGGCGAAUCGGAGGAGCUGAGAGGAGUCCCUAGAGGAUAGAAGGGCCUUUAUGGGACAAAAGACAUCCCUGGAUCUGCUGUGUUUCUCGAAAGUUCAUAGAGCACAGUGUUGUUAUUUUGUAAAAGUUUAAAAAUUAGAAAAGAAACUGUGAGAUGGAAACCGACGGGAUGGAACACAAACUAGAGUGUACAUUAACCAUAGUUCAUUACAGGUGGGGGAGGGGAAAGACAGAAAGUGAGAGCAAAGAGAGAGAGGGAGGCAAGAGAGAGUCAGUGGCGGGGGAGUGGGGUCUGUCUUUUAAAGGGGUCCUUUACACCUGCAAGCGGACUUAGUUCCCACGGAACCCUGAGCUGACCAGGGUACUGCCUGAGUGGAUUCUGCCAGGUAACAGGGUAAAGCCUGAACCUUUCACUCAGAGGGGUCAGUCUUUUAAUCUGAGAAAAAUACUGGGUUGGAGGGGAAAACCUGCUGUCAGACUGCGUCCCCGGGUUGAAUUAAUAUAAAUUACAACUGGCGUUAAUUAUCUUUAUAUUGACCACGGUGCUAUAAGAGCCUGAGGUCAGAGAGUACUAAAGCAAAACAACCGUCUUUAGGACAUGAUAGGACUACUGCACUAAGAAACUCAAGCACCUGCGGUUGCCCUCACAUGAGCUGAACAAAGUCAAACCAACCAACCUUCUAUCAUAGCGGGAGAAAGGGUUCGUGUGUGCCCGCCAGUAACUGGAGAGUUGUUGAUGGCUUCUGGGGGAAGAAGAUACUGUUUCCUUGAAGGGUGUGGGCCCUGGUAGGUCAACCAGUCUCCAGUUGAUGGUCCCACACCUGUGAGUAUAUGGACAGUACAAACUGGACUAAAUGGGUUUGUUUAUUUUUAUUUUAAGAGACCAUAAAGUUAUUGAAAGGAGGUGUGGGUGGAUCACGGGGGAGUUGAGGGUGAAAAUUAUCAAAGUACAUUGCCUGAAGUUCUAGAGGAUUAACAAAUGUAAAGGUUCUGCCAGCACACAGGAAGCAGAAGUAGAUGGAUCCCUGAGUUCAAGGCCAGUCUGAUCUAUGUAGUGAGUUCCAGGACAGACAGGUCUACACAGACAAACCCUGGCUCCAAAAACAAAACAAAGUAUAGAUUCUGAUGCUAGGAACUAAGAGAGUAAUAGAACCCUUCUCUGGCAUAUACAGGGCUUUGAGCUUGGUGCCCAUUGUCACCGCCAGCUGGCUGAACAGGUUUCCAUUGCCUCUGUCAUGCACUGGGCAGCAGUGAAUGGCAGCAAGUGGCUUCCUCUGUUGUUAGUCUCUGUCCAUGCCUUGAUAUCAGAAGCCUACUAGUGUUACAGUCCCUUAACCCUUGACAAGCAGCCUGUAUUUACAGCUCUCAGCCUGGGGUCUGAGACCUUCUGGCCUGAGGAUUUGCCAGCUCACUCGUUCUAGAGAGCAAGUCUAGCAUGUUCUCUUCUUUGGUUCCUUACAGCCUUUUAACCGGCUUUCAGUUCUUGUUUCUCAACUCCCACUUGCCUUCUUCCUACCCUGGAGGCUCUUCCACUGUUCAGUGCUUCUUCAGCUGUCAGGUAAACCCCUGCCUGACCCUUUUCUACAACACAAUAGCUGUUGCUGCCCUGACAUUGGGUACCUGCCUCUGUUGGGACUGCCUUCUGAGACCAGGGCACCCACCACAGCUCAAGAGUAUCGGGUCGGCUGGACAGAGUGGCACAAACCUUUAAUCCCAGUACUUUGGAGGCAAGUGGAUCUCUGUGAGUUGAAGGCCAGCCUGGUCAACAUAGUGAGUCCCAGGACAGUCAGAACUACACAGUGAGACCCUGUCUCCAAAAAAAAAGAGAGAGAGAGAGAGAGAGAGUGAGCAUGGGGUGCCAGACACGGCCUGUCAUGAUCACUUACCCAUAGACUUGGACAUCAUAUGCUCUGUGCAGAAAUAAUCAAGGAUCACCAGCCAAGGGGUGAGUAUCUGUUAGUGACUGUGAAAGGCAUGCACCUUCAGGGGCAAAGACUUAUAUUAAUACAUCUUCAAUGUAUCCAUUCCUUAUUUUCAGCUAGAACUUUUUGGUGUGGUAAUGGCGAGAUGGCUCAAUGGUUAAGAGCACCCAGGGUGGGUUUCCCGCACCUACGUGGUAUCCCACAACUAUUUGUAACUCCAGUUCCAAAAGAUCCAAUACCCUCCUCUGGCCUCUACGUGCACACACACAUGGUGCACAGGCACACAUGCAAACUAAACACCCAUAUACAUACAAUAAAAAUAAAUCUUUUUAAAAAAGCAAAACAGCCAUCCAAAAAUUAUAAAACUUUAUGGUGCAAUCUGAGCAUGCCCAGAGGCAUUUGUCCGUCAUUGAAACAUGAUCUAGUGCUAAGCACACCUAAAAUAAUGUGUCUAUUAUGGGAUGACUAAGACCUAACAACCAACUUACCUAGAUAGGUCCUCACUAAUAUUAAGAGCAUGUGUAGGAAAUACUUCCUAACACCAAUCUGGGUCUGCCUGAGGGCCUUGACAGCAGCAAACAAACCAUGGCCAGAGAUGACAUGGACCAAGGAAAAAUGGCGAUAUCACAUCAGCAGAUGCCAAUACAACAGAUCCUGCCCCCAGGCAAGAUGGGGGUAUAUUAGGCUUGCCCCUUCCUUAAUAAACCAAGCUUGUUGCUUUGACAUGCUCUAGGUGUCUGCAUCGCUGAAUCAGUGUCUACCUGCCCCCUCCAGCAAGGGAGACCCGUGGAACCCUGUAACAUCUGAUGCCCAACGUGGACCAUUGACCAACAUAGGUAUGAGCCCACCUGUGUGGGGGUCCUUGUUGCCUCAGUAACUUUUUGGGAAGAUUUUUUUUUUUACUUUGAGACUCCCUCCUCCUUGAUCUCAGUGUGGGUUGUGCCCCCCAGAUUGGGUGUUCAUAUAACUAGGGCCCUUGAUGUUUAUUGUCUUCAGUCCCAGAAGUAAGUACAGGGACCCCCCUCUCCUCUCUAUCCAUUUGUCCUGUCUGUCUCUCUGUCUGUCUGAUAGGGAGACACAUAUUCCCUGUCACUUGCCUGUUGUUUGCUGAAUUUUCACUAUGGGUAAUCUACCCUCUCAUUAUUAGGAGGCUCAUAUCGGAGGAUUUCGGGCCAGAACUGCAGACCUAGAGAGGUUUUGGACAGAGGCCACAGUUGUGUUAGUGCCAUGACUUUCCCCAGAAAACAAGUGGGAGCCUGAUCUCUGGAUACGGGUUUUAUUUCUGUUCAGGAAAAGAGAGGUAGCCUCAGGAGUGACUCCUCAAUUUUCCUUCACUCCUAUCUUGUUGUCGAUAAUAACCAUUUUAAAAUCCUCCUCAGCAGAGGAGGUGAUCAAGAUCCACAAUAAACAUUGCCAGGAACAAAGCCUUUCUAGAGAGGCAUGGAGAAGGGCACAUGAGCCAGUUAAAUAUGGCUCUGAGGAGAAGUCAAAAGGACGAGUCCUGAGAUGUUUACAAAAAAGGGUGAUUGGUUGCCAAGAUCAAACCAGACAGGGUCACUACAUAAACGGCCUGGGUUAGGUAGGUAAAGCAUAGGGCGCCCAGGCACAUGAUUGGCUGUCCUUUAAAACCAUUGGCUGUUUUCCCACUCUGUGGUUUUUUGCUUUAAAAGAUGCUUACUGUGGGGCAAUAAGAUUUCCUGCUUGACUAGACUCCCCACUGUGUCUGAUCAUCUGGGAGGCUGGGGAGGCUGGGGAACAGGCGGACGAGGGGCGCGCUUACCCUUCCUCGGACCCAGCUCAGCCUUCUGUGGUUGGGCUAAGACCCUGCACAUGGCUUACUGAGAUACAAAAGGCUAUGCCUGACCCACCACCCUGGAAGCUCGCCCAGGAUUGAUGCUCUUUGAGGGCUGGAAGUCAAGGAGGGCCGACUUAAGACAGGCACAGUCCGUUAUGUUGAUCCCUCCUGAGAUAGGGGCAACAAGGUUGGAGCAAGGCACCCUAGCUCCCACGGAGCAUGUCCUGUAAAAAUAAUAAAAGGGGUGGGUGUGUGAGAUGACUAAGCCCUAACAGCCAACCUACCUAGAUAGAUCCUCACUAAUAUUAAGAGUAUGUGUAGGAAAUACUUCCUGAACACCAACCUGGGUCUGCCUGAGGGCCUUGACAACAGCAGCCAAUCCAUGGCAAGAGAUGCUGUGGACCGAGGAAAAACAGUCAUGUCACAUCAGCAGAUGCCAACACAACAGAUCUUCUCCCCAGCCCGGUGGGGGGGGGGAAUAUUACACCUGCCCCUUUCUUAAUAAACUGAGCUUGUUGCUUUGACCUGC